GAUGAACGCUGGCGGCGUGCCUAAUACAUGCAAGUCGAGCGAACGGACGAGAAGCUUGCUUCUCUGAUGUUAGCGGCGGACGGGUGAGUAACUCGUGGAUAACCUACCUAUAAGACUGGGAUAACUUCGGGAAACCGGAGCUAAUACCGGAUGAUAUUUUGAACCGCAUGGUUCAAAAGUGAAAGACGGUCUUGCUGUCACUUAUAGAUGUAUCCGCGCUGCAUUAGCUAGUUGGUAAGGUAACGGCUUACCAAGGCAACGAUGCAUAGCCGACCUGAGAGGGUGAUCGGCCACACUGGAACUGAGACACGGUCCAGACUCCUACGGGAGGCAGCAGUAGGGAAUCUUCCGCAAUGGGCGAAAGCCUGACGGAGCAACGCCGCGUGAGUGAUGAAGGUCUUCGGAUCGUAAAACUCUGUUAUUAGGGAAGAACAUAUGUGUAAGUAACUGUGCACAUCUUGACGGUACCUAAUCAGAAAGCCACGGCUAACUACGUG
rnacentral:rRNA from 1 species